CAGUAAAUAGUUUAUAUUAAAAAUAUAAUAUUUGGGUUAUUAAGAAUAAUUACUGA
rnacentral:tRNA from 1 species